rnacentral:rRNA from 1 species
AUUCCAGCUCCAAUAGCGUAUAUUAAAGUUGUUGCAGUUAAAAAGCUCGUAGUUGGAUUUCGGAAUGGGUCAGUUGGUCCGCCUCACGGUGUGUUACUGACUGGUCUGUUCUUCUUCGCAAAGACUGUGUAUUCUCUUCAUUGAGUGGGCUCAGGAUUUACGACGUUUACUUUGAAAAAAUUAGAGUGUUCAAAGCAGGCCUACCGCUUGAAUACAUGAGCAUGGAAUAAUGGAAUAGGACUUUGGUCUUAUUUUGUUGGUUUCUAAGACCGAAGUAAUGAUUAAGAGGGACAGUUGGGGGCAUUAGUAUUUCGUUGUCAGAGGUGAAAUUCUUGGAUUUACGAAAGACUAACAACUGCGAAAGCAUUUGCCAAGAAUGUUUUCAUUG